GGCGCAGGGUGAGGGGGACGUUUCUGGCUGUAGGAGCUGUGUUGGAGCUCCGUGGCAGCCUCCUGGAGUUUAACUGAGAACAGAGAGCAGGAGGACUUGUCCUUUCUUUUUCCCAUUUCCAUCAACAGGAUGUUUGUUUCAUUGGCCUGCAGAAGACAAUCAUUUUUAUAGGAUCAGAUAAGAGAAAGAGGUCAUGGGGAUGAAUAUUUUUAAUUGCAGGGGAGAUCCUGGCAAGGGACAGUGUUUUGUGUUUCUCUCUCAGCCAUCAGGCCCUGGAGUGUGUCCAGAGAAUAAGGACAACAAAGCUGUGAGAGGUCUGGAACACAAGUCCGAUGGGGAGCAGCUGAAGGAACUGGGGUUGUUCAGUCUGGAGAAGAGGCUCGGGGGAGACUUCAUUGCUCUCUACAGCCACCUGGAUGAAAGGAGGUUGUGGCAAGAUGGAGAUGUCUGGAAGCAGUUCCUGCGUGGAUCUUGUGAGAAAGAUGGCGGACCCGGAGUAUGGAAGCCAGGUUUUCUUCUUGCAGAGCCUCUUCUCCCUUCCUCUUUUCCACUAUCAGGGCACACUGCUCCAGUGUUCCAGUGUGCAUAGAGCACAGGAAGGCAGAUGUUGCAGAGAAUCACAGAUUCAUAAAGGUUGGAAAAGAACACUGAGAUAAUCUAGUCCCACCAUCAGCCCACCUCCACCACGCCCACUGCCCACGUCCCUCAGUGCCACAUCCACACGGCAACUGAACACCUCCAGGGACAGUGACUCCACCACCUCACUGGGCAGCCUGUGCCACUGCCUCACCACUGCUGAGAAGAAAUUUCUACUCAUGUCCAACCUGCACCUCUCCUGGUGCAACUUUGGGUCAUUACCUCUAUUCCUAAACACCUAGAGGUGUUUGUCACAGCCAUCUGCAAUGGUCUGGUGAUUGGAUAGUUUUUCUGGAUGGGCAGUUGGGUUCUUCGGGUGGUACAGAGCCGUCAUGUUCAUAGAGUAAAU
ensembl:lncRNA